AUAUAUUAUAGACAAACACGCAUAUAUAUGCACAUCUCAACAAGUAAUAUAGAUGUAGAAAAUAAGUAUAAUUGCUAUUAACAUUUCUUCAAGAGAGAAAAUUACUAAUCAAUUUUUAAUUGAUUUAGGCUUCCUAUAUUGUUUAUUCAAUAACUAAAUACUGGGUUCCAUCCCUAAUAUCAAAAUCUUAUAUAAAUACAAUGUAUAUGUACAUACACAAAUCCACACAUAACUUCUGUUAGAUGGAUAUACCCAUUUGUUUAUAUGUAUAUUAGUUGAUAAACAGAAGUUUAAUUGCUUUGAAAGCAAAGGAAAAACACAGGGGACUCUUGUCCCAGAGGCUGUGAUUCUGCACAUCAGGGGGAACAGAGGGUUUUUAAUGAUGUGAUUUCAGGUGUGCCCGGAUCUUCUUCACUUGUUAAUCUGGGAUAUAAUCAUUUUUUAAGUCUUCUGCUGCCAUCCCCAAUUCUGAAUUUCUUCACUCCCAUGGUGGGUGUGUGCUCAAGAAUAGACAACUGGAUGGGGACAAAAAUUAAUCCUGUUUCCCCCCAGGUUGGGGAUGGGGAGAGGGGGAUGAAAAAAAAAUGUCAAUUUUAAAAUAAGACUCUGUGGCAGAUCAUCAUGCUGGGGUUUUUCAGAUUAUUUUUUUUAAUUUAAUUUAUACUUAACUGAACUUUAGUUGUUCAUGGUGGGCGGGUGGUGUUAUUUCAAAGGGCAUCACUUUUAUACCAGUUCAAAUAGAACAACUUUCUAAAAAUAAUAUAUUAAAUCUGUAGAACACUAUAUGUUCCACUUUAUACAAAUUUAUAGUUGUUGAAAUCACUUUUAUUCCUGUCACUGGGACCAAUUUGUUUCAAAUUCAUCUGCUUCAGAGUUCUAGAAACUGGGAAAUCAACUGAAAGGACUAUUUGUCUCAGAGUAGGGGAGUUGACCACCUGGGAGGAUAAGGAGGUGUUCAGUGUGGUGGAAAUG
rnacentral:lncRNA from 1 species